rnacentral:rRNA from 1 species
UACGGAGGGUGCAAGCGUUAUCCGGAUUCACUGGGUUUAAAGGGUGCGUAGGCGGAUAGGUAAGUCAGUGGUGAAAUCUCCGAGCUUAACUCGGAAACUGCCGUUGAUACUAUUUGUCUUGAAUACUGUGGAGGUAAGCGGAAUAUGUCAUGUAGCGGUGAAAUGCUUAGAUAUGACAUAGAACACCAAUUGCGAAGGCAGCUUACUACGCAGUUAUUGACGCUGAGGCACGAAAGCAUGGGGAUCAAACAGG